CAAGCUUUGCUGUCUGGAAGUAAAACAAACACCAAAUAAGCCAUAAUUUAUUUUGUCAACUGAUACAAUGAUAAGUUACAAUAUGAUUUUGAGAUUGGAACCCGAAAGAGGAAUCAGAAAAAGAACUCGCAUCUCCAAUGCCAUGCAAGAAAAGCUACUCCAGCCCUUGAAAGUUUUCGAAAAUUCUGAGACUUGGCUUUGUUUUACUUCCAGACAGCAAAGCUUGUACCAAGUUUUAUCCACCAGGAGAUGGGAAAAGUUCCAUUUCUGAUCCUUUUUAUCAACAAUCUUAAAUGAGUUCCUACCCUACAACUUCAUAUGACCCAAGCCUCCUUUGAAGGAACCAUAAAGAGGUUGUGAUCUUCUGAAGCUGAAAAUAUCAUCUAUUGCAACAGAGUUGGAUGCAACUGAUUCACUGUUAUCUGUUGCAUACUCUGAUGAAUGUGGGGACCCAUAAACACGAACACUUAAUGUCCUCUUCUGAGGUGCACCGACUUUUAUGUGUUCAUUGAAAAACCCUACAAACUCUCGCUGCUCCAGUUGCCUUAAUGCAGCCACCUCAGAGUCUUUCCGAUCAAACUUUAGGGUUCCAUCAUAUAUCUCUCGCCAGUAAAAUCCAGAUUCUUCCCUCAAAUUCUUGUGCUUCUCGAGCUUCAUAUCAAUCAAAGCAUUAACAUUAUUCUUGAAUUCUUCAUUUGUCAUCUCAUAAAGUUUAGUUUCAAACAUCUUGAGAAAUGCCUCGACUCUCAAAUCAACACGUCGAGGGCCCUUCACUGUAGAUUGGAUAACAAACUGUACACCUCGAACGCCAGAAUCAUUUCUGGGCAUGAGCACAGUAAUAUAUCCAAGUUGCUCAACUCAACUGACCGAAGCUGGUGGAAAGCUGGUUGCUUUGCAAUAAAAGCAAAAAGCUGAAGUUUCACAUUCAGCAUAAAAUCAUCUCGAUGAACCUGAAUAUAAUGCACCAAAGCAGAAUUCUCGUCACUGGGAUUCAAGCCUUCAAUUGGAUAAAAAUAAUUCUUUCCCCUUUCAAGCUUGAUAACUCUAUUAGUCAAAUGCUGGGAUGGGAAUAAUGGUUGGCAAAUAGGAAUUGGGCCCUUGUAAAAGACAUCUUCUAUAUGCUCAAUUAUUGACUCUGCCUCGCUGCGUUCAAUGUUACCUGCUAUAUAGCACUCCAAGAAAGCUCUUGAGAGCAUCAAUGGGACAAACUUAGCAAGAUCUUCUGCUUCAAGAUGAGGAAGCACUUCAAGUUCAUCCAUCCAAGGCCAUGCUUGAUUCUGUAGAAUUAAAGAGCAAUGAUACAUAGCCUGCUGAUAUGGUUGCUGAAACUUGAAAUUUUCGUACUCCUUUAUCACCAUUUCCUU
rnacentral:misc_RNA from 1 species